UUUGAUUUGCUUCGCCUAAGAAGGUUGUUUCAUCUCGCUGUGCAACGUCUGAAAGAAUACGUCGCAAGGAGUCCUUUUCGACGGACCUGUUGUUGUGGUUUAAUUGACAUUUGAACUUUGCUAUAUCUGAAUUGUUGUAAUUGUUUUAUUUUUAUAACUUCAUAACGGUAUGUAAGUUUUAAUCGUUAAUAUAAACGUCUGUGAUUUGUGAUCUAAGUGAUUUUUGAACUUGACUGAAGUUAUUUUCCUUGUGAAAAUUACAUGGAUUAUUUUAACUUUGAGUUUCUGAUAAUAAAAUGGACGUUAAUAAUACACAUGAAUGUUUCUCGUCUGGUAUAAAAGUUAUUGGUGCGGACGAUUUCAAUAAAUAUAUGAAUGUUGUUCCCGAAGAACGUGAAAUGGGAACAAAAAUCACAGAAGUUAAAUACGAACAACCUGCUGAUAACUUGGAAGAAAGUGAAUUGUCUUCUUCUGAUUCCGAAGACAUGGAAGGAUUUUAUAUCUGUUUGUCUGAGGAGCAAAUUACUCCUUUUAAACGCAGAAGACCUUUGAAGAGAUCAUUUGUAUACAGUCGACCCCCUAUAACACUGUUGAUUAUUCCGUUUUAUAUGAAUUCCAUGUU